GGGGGCCACUUGUCCAAUAAUCCCGUUUUCCAAGAAUUACAGUUAAAAAAGUUCAAAACAGAAAAUCAAGAACGCAGAUCGCACUAACCAAGGAAGGGUGAGGAGGUUCCCCAAGAAGCAAUUCGCCAGGACUCGACAUUCCACCCUUCAGUGAAUCUGUUUCACCAGACGGGAGGCUUCUUUUGCAUGACGGCGUUUGUGCAUGGCAACAUGAGCAGCACCUUUCUCUUCUUGAAAUGGUUGAAGGAACGUCACAAACUGUUGAUUUGGGUGAACAAUAAUAGAAAGCAGUCUCAGAACGAGCAUCAUGCUGCGUGCAUGCUCUGGCGAGCAGUUCAAAGUUGAGGAGGUGGAGCCUCCUCUGUCACCAGAAUCCUUCGCGACGAGAGAUUUUUCGGCUGGUGGCAUUUCCUCCAGAACUUUGGAUUGGGAUGCCAAGUUUGAGGAUAAUCAUGUCGAAGAUGUUGAAACUACUCUGAAGGAAGCCCUCUCACUGAACUAUGAGAUGCCUUUCUUCCCCUCUCUGGUGCUCUACUCUACUUUGAAUCCCCUUUAUGAAAUAUUCUCCAAAUAAACAAAUCCAAUGCUGAAUUUUAAUGCAUGAUCAGGUGGGGGCGAUGAAAAAGGUGGGUGAAUUCAAAACAGAUUCUUGAAGGAAUCAAAUUCACGUGAAUGGAAGAUUUGUGUGCGUUGGCAGGUGUUCCGUGGGAUUGAUAUACAAAGUUUGAUACCCAAGAUGACUAAAUCUAUAGCUGAUAAGGUCCAGCGUCAAAAAGCUCGAUUUAAAAGCCAGAAGGUGCAAAAAAAUACAAUGUCUAUGCAUUCUGUGAGUCUCUUGCGUGAAGCUAUCUUACCCAAAGCAAGAUCACUGGAACAGCUUGGUUUAAGAAAAGGUACAGUAUCUAGUUGGGUAAUUACCUUUCUGUUUGAAAAUGAUGUUCUUAGUCUUCUAGUAGACAUGUCUGGAUUUGUUUGACUGUCUUACUAUGUUUGUAUGUCUUAAUCAUUCAGCAUGAUGCACGUGAUUAGUAACAC